rnacentral:rRNA from 1 species
GACGAACGCUGGCGGCGUGCCUAAUACAUGCAAGUAGAACGCAGUUGCGAACGGGUGAGUAACGCGUAGGUAACUGCCUCAUAGCGGGGGAUAACUUUUGGAAACGAUAGCUAAUACCGCAUACUGUGAGAUGGACCUGCGUUGUAUUAGCUAGUUGGUGAGGUAAAGGCUCACCAAGGCGACGAUACAUAGCCGACCUGAGAGGGUGAUCGGCUACACUGGGACUGAGAAACGGCCAAGACUCCGACAGGAGGCAACAGUAGGGAAUCUUCGGCAAAGGAGCGAAAGCUGACCGAGCAACGCCGCGUAAGUGAAGAAGGAUUUCGGAUCGUAAAGCUAUGUUAAUAGAGAAGCGGUAACUAACGAGAAAGCGCCGGCUAACUACGUGCCAGCAGCCGCGGUAAUUC